UAUUGGUCAAUGGCCGGAAGGCUGAACCAGCCAAGCCGCGUGAGGGAAUAAGGCCCUACGGGUCGUAAACCUCUUUUGUCAGGGAGCAAGGCCGUCCACGUGCGGGCGGAAGGAGAGUACCCGAAGAAAAAGCAUCGGCUAACUACGUGCCAGCAGCCGCGGUAAUACGGAGGAUGCGAGCGUUAUCCGGAUUUAUUGGGUUUAAAGGGUGCGUGGGCGGCCUGCCAAGUCAGCGGUAAAAUUGCGGGGCUCAAGCCCGUAGAGCCGUUGAAACUGACGGGCUCGGGUGGGCGAGAAGUAUGCGGAAUGCGUGGUGUAGCGGUGAAAUGCAUAGAUAUCACGCAGAACCCCGAUUGCGAAGGCAGCAUACCGGCGCCCUACUGACGCUGAGGCACGAAAGUGCGGGGAUCA
rnacentral:rRNA from 1 species